GACGAACGCUGGCGGCGUGCCUAAUACAUGCAAGUAGAACGCUGAAGAGAGGAGCUUGCUCUUCUUGGAUGAGUUGCGAACGGGUGAGUAACGCGUAGGUAACCUGCCUGGUAGCGGGGGAUAACUAUUGGAAACGAUAGCUAAUACCGCAUAAAAUUGAUUAUUGCAUGAUAAUUAAUUGAAAGAUGCAACUGCAUCACUACCAGAUGGACCUGCGUUGUAUUAGCUAGUUGGUGAGGUAACGGCUCACCAAGGCGACGAUACAUAGCCGACCUGAGAGGGUGAUCGGCCACACUGGGACUGAGACACGGCCCAGACUCCUACGGGAGGCAGCAGUAGGGAAUCUUAGGCAAUGGGGGGAACCCUGACCGAGCAACGCCGCGUGAGUGAAGAAGGUUUUCGGAUCGUAAAGCUCUGUUGUAAGAGAAGAACGGGUGUGAGAGUGGAAAGUUCACACUGUGACGGUAUCUUACCAGAAAGGGACGGCUAACUACGUG
rnacentral:rRNA from 1 species